GCGCUGGUGCACGAUCUGGACGUAUCUGACACCCGGGUCGCCAGGUUGAGGGCCUGGUCCACACUUAGUGGGUGGAGGUUCGAGUCCUCUUCGGCGCA
rnacentral:tRNA from 1 species